GACUUGUGGCUCAGUGGUAGAGUGCUUGCCUGGCAUGUGUGAUACCCUGGGUUCAAUCCUCAGCACCA
rnacentral:tRNA from 1 species